CACGACUACAUUAGAUACCCGGGUAGUCCUAGCCGUAAACGAUACUCGCUAGGUGUCGGCCACGGUGCGACCGUUGUCGGUGCCGUAGGGAAGCCGUGAAGCGAGCCACCUGGGAAGUACGGCCGCAAGGCUGAAACUUAAAGGAAUUGGCGGGGGAGCACCACAACGGGUGGAGCUUGCGGUUUAAUUGGAUUCAACGCCGGAAAUCUUACCGGGACCGACAGCAACAUGAAGGCCAGGCUGAAGACUUUGCCGGAUUAGCUG
rnacentral:rRNA from 1 species